ACACCGGCAGCUCAAGUGGUAGCCGCUUUUAUUGGGCCUAAAGCGUCCGUAGCCGGUCUGAUAAGUCUCUGGUGAAAUCCCACAGCUUAACUGUGGGAAUUGCUGGAGAUACUAUCAUGACUCGAGGUCGGGAGAGGCUGGAGGUACUCCCAGGGUAGGGGUGAAAUCCUGUAAUCCUGGGAGGACCACCUGUGGCGAAGGAGUCCAGCUGGAACGAACCUGACGGUGAGGGACGAAAGCCAGGGGCGCGAACCGGAUAAGAUUCCCGGGUAGUCCUGGCCGUAAACGAUGGGGACUUGGUGUUGGGAUGGCUCCGAGCUGCCCCAGUGCCGAAGGGAAGCUGUUAAGUCCACCGCCUGGGAAGUACGGUCGCAAGACGGAAACUUAAAGGAAUUGGCGGGG
rnacentral:rRNA from 1 species